UUUGCCUUCGCUUGGGCCCGCGGUGCCUGUCGGGCAGCCUUGCCGUGGCUGCUGGCCCCAGGGGCUUCCUUUUGUUGCUGGGUUUUCAGAUCACGAAAUGCUCUGGAGGGAUGGGGCACGGAGAGACUGAAAACCCGCUUUAAAGCAUGAGCUAUGAAAAAGGAAAACUCACUCCGUCCGAAUCUUGAUGCAGUUCCGUGCCUGUGAGCCGAAGGGUGUUUGUCCUUGUGACGUUUCUCACUGCUGAAAUGCACUGUCAGCUCUGGGGCACACCGUGCCUUUCCCAGGGAUUAAAGAGUUAUUGUCACUUCCAGCUCCUCAGCGUUACCCUGUCGGGAGGGUUGAAGUGUCCCAGUCCUGCUCUGACACUUUCCUAGGCUGCCAACAAUGAGGUGAUGAGAAGUCAGUAACUCUUUUCACGCCGUGGCCACUUGUUGUUUCAUGUUGGGAUCAGGGCGUUUAUGAAGAGGCAGCACGGCGCUCCCAGUUGGGUUGGAACACGUAACUUGUGCACCUUCAGCUGCCUGCUGGGGAGGCUCCAGCCAAAGACUUUGCAGCAGAGGCUGCCCAGCCUUUGGGGGAGCUCAGAGAGAUGCUUGUGAGCGUUGUGCUCCUGCACCUCUGACCUCUCACUGGAGCACAGAGGACACGUGCAGGAGCUCAGGCUCUGACCUCCAGUGUGAGACCUCCCAGCAGUGGGGAAGAAAGGAUCAGGUUGGGUGGCUGCAUUGCAUGGCCCCCCUAGUCCUCCCCCAGACCCUCCGUACCCCCCGCAGGCCUCCCCAUGCCCACUUGGGUGCCACUGCUGGAGCCUCAGGGGGGCACAUUGCAUGGCUCAGCUGUGGCUGUUUGAGCUCCCUGGCUGUGUUGCUGCCUCCUCUGUGUAGUGACAGCUGCAGGGAAGGACCCCCAAAACGCAUCCACAGAGACCAUUGCCUGCCCCACUGCAAACAGCUGCCUCACAUCUCUGUGCCUCCUGUACACUUCUUCAGCCUCACGCUGAGUGCUUGUGCCCCUUUUCCUUCCUGGAUGCAUGCAGGGUGAGCAGUUAGGGAGCUGCUGUGGGGAGGCUGGUGCUGCUCGUGGUCUGGGGCCCUGCUGGUCUGAGCCCUGCUUAACUGCUGGCUUCUUUGACCAGUGCUGAUUGCAGUGCCAGUGAACACAUCUGAGUGAGUGACCGAGCUCUGCUGGAGCAGCCUUGCUAUGCAGGAUUAAUCUCUCUGGCUCCUUUUCAACUUUGUUGCAGAGCUCUUGAGGCACGUUGUGUGUUUUCCUGAGUGACUGCACAGGACAGAGGUGCCGGGGGGUGGUGAGGUGUUGUCAGCGUGGUGUGAGGUCUGGUAACAGCUGGCUGGCUGUGGCACCAGGCGCUCGGGCCGUCAAUUCCCAUCUGGCACAGGAGGAGUGCAUGUGAGGCUGUGUGCCACCCCGUUCUGCUGCCACCUCUGGUCGUGGCAGCCUCUCUUAUUCUGAGCAAGCUGAUGUGGCUGUGGCACCUUUUCCUUACUCAUUUUUCAGUCUGCCCUGCAGGAAUUCCUGGCUGGGUAUUGCAGGAGAUUAAACCUGCUCUGCGUCUGUUGACUCCGUGAAUAAUGUCUCUAAAUUGAGUCUAAAUCUGAAAUAAUUCCUAGAAAUGAAAUCUUAAUCUUUCUAACGCUGUGAUGAAGCUUAAUGAUCGCAGUUGGGGCCUCACUUCAAAGACUUGUAAUUUGUUCAGGGAAAUCUUAAAGGCACAAUGUCAACGUCUCCCUUUUUGUGUUACUUCCAUUAGAGCUGUGUGAGCACUGUUCCUAAUUAAUUGAUAGCAUCUUGAGCAAGGACAGACAUUUGCAUAACUAUUGAAAUCCCUGUGCUAAGCCGCUUGCUGGCUGCCCCAUCUUCCUGAGCACCACCACCUGCACCUGGAGAGCAGCGGGAGAGAAAUCCUACUGGAAAACACACGGGGUCAAUUAACACCACCGUGUGCCAGGCACUGCCUGAGUGACAGCUGGGGGUGCUGGUGGUGCUUGGUUCGCUGCCUCCCAGGUUGUGAUGCCAGGACACUGAGUGGCCAAUGGCUUCCUCUGACUGCCCCCCUCGUGGGGCGACUUGCUGCCGUCCCUGCCCCAAAUUAGACUAGUGAUACGGCAGGAGUGAGGCAAUCCUGGUGGUGGCUCUUUGUGAGAUAGUCGGGUUGUUCACUUCUCUUGCACAAUGUCUUUACCCCACGGUACUGUUGGGUUCCUGUGGGGCUCUUUUCCUUCUGUUCCCGCAGCAGGAUUGCAGUGCUGGUGUUGGGUUGGUCACUAAUGCCAAGCUGAUAGAAGGAUCCACCAGUCCUUGAUUUGCUUUGUUCCUGUGGUGUGGCAGCGUGGUGACUGGCUCUCCAGCUCUGGAGUCUCAGCAGCUUCUCAGAAGGGUGUUUCCUCUUUAUCCACAGUGCCUGUGGUCUUGGAGCCCCUGUAGGAGUCAUUAUGCGACCAAGCAGCAGCUGCCUCUCUACUUAAUCCUUGGACAGCAGCAGCUCUUUCAGCCAGAAAUGAGUGGGAAAGCUUAACAGCCAACCUGGAGAAAGCACAAGCAUUGAAGCAGUAAGAAGAGACACUUGAACAUUUGGUCUAAACUUGUGCUGUGUCACUGCCUGAAUGCUUAAGCUGUUCCUCUCUGUUCAGAAAACAGCCUCAGCUGGAAGGUGUCUGUGCAGGGCAUUAGGCCUCGGUACCCAACUUGCUGUGGUUGGUUGUAAAACUUUCCUAUGUGCAUGGCUCCUGAGUGGAAAUAUCUUGCUGUGAAACCAUCGUGCUGCUUCCCAGGGCUUGGCCCCCUCCUCUGCUUGCCCUGCCUGCCAUCAGCAUCACAACAGGGACCCUGGGCUCCUGUCUCAUGUCUAGCACAGAACCAGUACUGAUGUUGAAUAAAAUUGACCUGUUGAGCUGAAAAGCCA